rnacentral:tRNA from 1 species
CUUCUCGUGGUGUACUUGACAAAGCACCUGUCUAGUGAGUAGGAGUCGUGAGUUUGAAGCUCACCGAGAGGA